rnacentral:rRNA from 1 species
UACGAAGGGGGCUAGCGUUGCUCGGAAUCACUGGGCUUAAAGGGCGCGUAGGCGGAUUUGCAAGUCCGGGGUGAAAUCCCACAGCUCAACUGUGGAACUGCCUCGGAUACUGUGAGUCUCGAGGGUGGCAGGGGUAUGCGGAACUAUCGGUGGAGCGGUGAAAUGCGUUGAUAUCGAUAGGAACUCCGGUGGCGAAGGCGGCAUACUGGUCCACUUCUGACGCUGAGGCGCGAAAGCCAGGGGAGCAAACAGG